rnacentral:rRNA from 1 species
GAUGAACGCUGGCGGCGUGCCUAAUACAUGCAAGUCGAGCGAACAGACGAGGAGCUUGCUCCUCUGACGUUAGCGGCGGACGGGUGAGUAACACGUGGAUAACCUACCUAUAAGACUGGGAUAACUUCGGGAAACCGGAGCUAAUACCGGAUAAUAUAUUGAACCGCAUGGUUCAAUAGUGAAAGACGGUUUUGCUGUCACUUAUAGAUGGAUCCGCGCCGCAUUAGCUAGUUGGUAAGGUAACGGCUUACCAAGGCGACGAUGCGUAGCCGACCUGAGAGGGUGAUCGGCCACAAUGGAACUGAGACACGGUACAGACUCCUAAGGGAGGCAGCAGUAGGGAAUCUUCCGCAAAGGGCGAAAGCCUGACGGAGCAACGCCGCGUGAGUGAUGAAGGUCUUCGGAUCGUAAAACUCUGUUAUUAGGGAAGAACAAAUGUGUAAGUAACUAUGCACGUCUUGACGGUACCUAAUCAGAAAGCCACGGCUAACUACGUG